rnacentral:pre_miRNA from 1 species
CUGUUACUCCCUCCGUUCCGAAUUACUUGUCUCGGAAAUGGAUGUAUCUAGAACUAAAAUACAUCUAGAUACAUCCAUUUUUGAGACAAGUAAUUCCGAACGGAGGGAGUAGGUU